ensembl:lncRNA
AUGACUUUGGCACAUUGUGGAGACAGAGAGGAUUUAGAUCUGCUGAUGGAAAAUAAAUUGCUAAAUUGUGAUUUUGUUCAAAGACUUUUUCAGGCUAUACAGCUGCCAUCGGCCGUUGCAGUUGUAAAAACGACAGGACACAGUACAGCUGACACAGACGAAGCAACAGACUAUUUCCAAGACCAUGGUCAGCUUCCAGAGGGGCACCGCUAGUAGAAGGUGAUGUAUAUUGCAUUGUCCACUGAUGUUCACAACCUGAUAGAAAAACUGAAUAAUAACUAUCAGAAAGUUUGUCUCUCUCAGCUUUUCCCCUCCACAGUUCCACCAGUGGAGACAAGGAGAUGCAUGUUGGAGAAGCCACUAAAACCAAGGACUCUCUGGGAGGCCGCGCGUGUUCCAGCCCCCAGACUGUACUGGCAGUGACGAAGAACCAGCAUCCUCACAGACGGACAACCUCAGUGGAUUCAUGCCAGCAGGGUUAAGACCAGCCCAAUCGGACCAUCUCAGGCGUCGGAUCAAGCAGACGACAUCUCCGGCGAGCCAGCGCCCGGAACUAGAGCAAAUAAACACACACGGGUAGAUGACAUCUCCGGCGAGCCAGCGCCAGGAUCCAAUGUACACACACACAAUCACUGAUUAACACACAACGUCUGAAAGAGCAACAACAAGGUACUCAAACAUCCAGCAGGAACAGAAAGCCAAAAGUACCACAUGAUGUCUAACCUGAUAAAGCCAGACUCAUUUCAUCCUGAUAAUGGAGAAAAUGAAAUGCCCAUUGUCAUCAUACGACGCUUAUUCUAUGUCUCUCGAACCUGGGACCAGGCCAGAAGACGACUGAAGAACUGUCUUUUUUAUAUAUUUAGGUUAUUAAUCAUAUCUACUGCAUUAACCUUAGGAUUUUUAUUUACUAUUUCAUAUUGUAAAGUGCAACCCUGUUCACAUUUCUGCAAGCCACAUUUUCAAUGAUAACCCAUAUAGCUACCAGUACAGCCACUUCAAUGUAUUUGCAAUUAGCACAAAUUGAUCCUGAGGAUGUGCCAGAUGUUACCAAUGAUGUUCCUGAUGUGUAUAUUGAACAUUAGGUUGUGAACUAUUACAUUUUAUGAUUUGCUUUUUAUAUUAUGUUAUUACAUUUGUGAUUUUUCCUUUCUAUUUGAGUUAUUAUUUUUAAAAAAUAAUAAAAGAGGGGAACUGUUAGGUAUUUUAGUACCACGGUUAGCAUUUACAGAAGAUUGUUUUAUACAGAAAAGAGUUGCUCAAUAAGGCCCAUCUACUAGUUGUUUUUCUCUUUCUCUGUGACCCAAGAAUUAAUGUGAGACUCACAAGCUGGUACCUCAAGGUCGAAAACACCACAGAGAUGAGACCACUUCUUUACUCCCAUCCUCCCUUUUCCUUAUCUCCUGGAAAAGGCUCGUUAAAGGCUAGGUGGUUCGUUUCAGAAUUCACUAAUGAAAGAACUCUGUAUUUUAUGUCUAGGAGUGUAUUUUGCUGGGAUGAUCAUAAAUUGUAGCUGAGCUGAUAAACUACACACAGGAUACUUCUUUGUUCACAAGGCAGGAAGACGUUUCCUUAUUUGGUCUGUACCGGUUUGAACUGGGAAAGCUGACACACGAACCUUUUUUCAUCUAUAUAAACUGCUG